rnacentral:rRNA from 1 species
UGAGAGUGGGUAGUCCGCACGAGCGCACCUCACUUUUAGUUGCCAUCAUUAAGUUGGGCACUCUGAAAGAACUGCCAGUGAUAAGCUGGAGGAAGGUGGGGAUGACGUCAAGUCCUCAUGGCCCUUACGUGUUGGGCUACACACGUGCUACAAUGGCAUCUACAACAGGAAGCAAAACGGCAACGUUAAGCAAAUCCCGAAAAGAUGCCUCAGUUCGGAUUGCACUCUGCAACUCGAGUGCAUGAAGCUGGAAUUACUAGUAAUCGUGGAUCAGCGUGCCACGGUGAAUGCGUUCCCGGGUCUUGUACACACCGCCCGUCACACCAUGGGAGUUGGUUCUACCUUAAGGCAAGGUUUUAAACCCUUGACCACGGUAUAGUCAGCGACUGGGGUGAAGUCGUAACAAGGUAGCCGUAGGGGAACCUGCGGCUGGAUUACCUCCUUUCU